GGACACGCCACGCUAAAGCCAGUUACGUUCUGUGGAGCAAAGUUGCGUCUGGAAAGAAUCGUCAUGAUGGUCUGGGCCAGAUGAAGAAGACGAUUAGAGAAGACGUCACCUACGAGUUGCCUGAUGUAACUAAAUAUGAACCAAAACAACACUGUCAAUAAUGAAGAGUGGACAACAUAGUGAACGCGGUAUGCCUUCAUACAACAUCAUAGGAAGCAGGAUCCAACAAGAUAGAAGAAUAGUGCAAAUCGACAUGUGGAGUUACAUAGGCCAUUAGGGAUAACAGCAAAGACUUAUAAGUCCAGCUCGAAAACCAACACAACUCCACUCUCAUACACCUAUGCCCCCUCCCAUCCAGCCCCCAACCAACA